ACGAUCUGGGUGUCGUAGGCAGCAGUAGAGCGUAGGGGUGAGGCGGUGUCAGGAAGUAUUAGGCGUGAAGCGGGCGGAGGAGGGUUGUGUAGGCGGCUGUGAGUACCCGCGGCUCAGCCGUGGGCUUGCAGCCGAGACGGGGAGGUUGGAGUGCGGGAGGGGAGACGGGAAUUCCUGGUGUAGCGGUGGAAUGCGGAGAUAUCAGGAGGAGCACCGGUGGCGAAGGCGGGUCUCUGGGCCGAUACUGACGCUGAGGAGCGAAAGCGUGGGGAGCGAACAGGAUUAGAUACCCUUGUAGUC
rnacentral:rRNA from 1 species